UUCGACGGAAGUCUUUGGUGAAUCUGAAAACUGAACAACUGAAAGUCGACAACUGUUCCAAAAACUAGACUGUUGAAUCAUUUUAAAAUGUAGAUUCAGUCAUGUAGGCUACGAAUUCUUUCGCUGCGCAACGUUUAGUAUAGCGAAUAGAUUUGGAGAGGUCCUGAUCUGUAUCUAAAUUCAUCUGGCUAGCACAGGGCCAGUUGCUGUAACGAACCCUAAGAUCAAAAGAUGAAGAUGGAAACCUUGAUCUUUCAUGGUAUGUGGUGAUGUUUAAAGAUGCUCAGUUUCUUGUGAUUUGGUGGUGAGCCAUUGCUUGUUAGGCAUGAGUUUCGAUGGUGCCCGGUUUUUGCGUCAAAUAUGGAGGGUUGUGGUGUUAGCAGGAAAUUGCUCUUUCAUGCCAGGCGCUCGGAAGGUACGGACCGAUCAUCACUGAACAAUGUAGUGGGCGCUACUAUUACCUGAAUUAACGCAGAACUUGGUCUUGGUUCUUCUGUGGAUAUAUCGGUGGUGUCCGACCGCGGUUGGUGUAAUUCGGGUUGGUCUAGCAGUAGUGAUGAGUCGUGAAUUUCACUGCCGUAAGGUUACUAAUCGUUUGCCACUGAUGCUGUCACCUGAUUUGCCGGCGACUUGGUUAUAGCUUUUUCGUCUGUACAUGGACUAGCUAUGUUCGGGAUUGGUUAAUGCCUAUAGGUUAGUUAACAUUUUUUUCUUUCUGUCUCUUUCGUGGGUUUGUUAGGUGAUGACACGUUUAAUGGCGAUUUUCUGUGAUUAAGGCCGUAGCCAAAAGGAUACUGACUUCUUUAUUUUACCGUACAAUUGUGAGUUGUUUCGUCGUGCGCUAUAACUUUAUUCUGUGCAGGUAUAGCAGAGUCGCGGCGAAUCGUGGGUUAUAUUGUUUGAUUAGCUGUUAACGACCAGCGUGUGAGUAAUAUUUCUGUAUUGUGUUAUUCCAGCUAUUAAUGAUGAAACUAUUGUAUCCGUAUUGAUGGAUGAUGGUAGUACAAGCUCAACAGGUCUGAUACUGUUGUCUGAAAACGAAAUUUGCAGUCGAAAUGUUUUUUUUAACAUUUUUCUUCGUAAAAAAUACAGGCGUGAGUUAUUCGUAUCUCUUACCAGUAUGUGGUCUGGAUGGAGCUUUUUUUCCCGCGGGUGCUGCGUAGUAUUUUUGGGAUUGAUGAACGGCGUGGUAAGAAUCUUAUCAUGACAUUUUCCUUCUCUGCAGUUCUACAGUUUUAUCUCCACAUUUUUCAACAAAGUUUAGUGGGAACCAAAAGCUGUGAAUUUGUGUUGCACCCUGAAAAAUUAUGCGAUUUCUUUGUAAGUAUUUAAUCCGUCUUUUGAAACGUACUGGCACUCUUCGUUUCCUCGUCGACUUUUCUAGUCGAUUGUGGCAGAAGAGAGUGCAAUAGGAUGUUGCCUAUCUGAAUGAACUUUGAAUUCUUUCUAACUUCAAAUUAAACUUUGGCGUACAACGGUUUACAUUACAUGUUAUGGAAAUUAUUUUCUUUUAUAAUUUUUGUACUUGCAGGUAGAAUCCAACUCUUCUGUAAAUUCUGCAAUGGCAGAUUUGGAAAUAUUUAUUGCCAGGUUAGGAAUGUUUAGAAUAUUGCAUAAGGUGACUCAAUAUAUUCAUUUUCAUUUGCACGAACAAAUACAAAUUCCUGUAUCGUUA